GGGUCCUGCAUCCGAGGCAUCCCCGAUCCAUCCAGCAUCUUCUCGCGCAGUCUUCUUCGACCCGCUGCCACAGUCCCGGCGCCCCAGGCCCUGCGCAGAUGAAGACCCUCCCUCGGACGGCUUUGCGGGCCCUGCCUCAGCCGGCGCCCCCUUCUCUCCUGCAGGACCCGGACCCGCACUGCAGGGGCUGAGUGCCCCCUGGGUUGGCGUCUGAGUCUUGCCUCCCCGUAGGCUCAGUACCUGGCAUGUGUCCAAGGCUCAGCAGCUGUACCACAACCACCCAACAGGAGAGAAGGAAAGGAGAGGUGCACCCCGGGGAUGUGAGGAGGCAGCACCGGGCAGAGGGGCCCUUGAGAGAUGUCACCAUCCUGUUAAGAAAGGGCUGGACCACAGCGCUGCAGAGAUGAGUCCACGGUGUGCAGAGGCCGUCGUGGAAGUUGUCGUGUCAGCAGCGCUGUAGACCGCAGUGUCCUUGAGGUAUUUAGGGGCUGACCGCGGACACUGGCGUAGCAGCGUGAAGCAGGAUGUUGUCGCAUGACCAUCGCCAAACCUUUCUCUUCUGUUGCCUCAGCACAGCGUGGAAGGACUCUGCCCUCUGUGUGAACAGGGCAGAGGGGAAGUUCUGGGGCUCCAGGGACUUGGGGUUCAGAGCUGGAGACCUUCUACUGGCUCCCAGCAGGUGCCUCAGAACACUGCUGACCAGGAAGACUGUCUCUUCCCAUCUGGACCAGGUCAUCCCGUGGCUUCUGUGUCUCCCAUUUGCUCCUAGUAUAACUUUUUAGAACCAGGAGUUCCUGUUGGAGUCUUGUGUGCCGUGCAUCUUAUCUUCUCACCCACUUAAAUAAAUCUCGAAACUGCCCUGCUGCA
rnacentral:lncRNA from 1 species